AAUAUUGGUCAAUGGACGCAAGUCUGAACCAGCCAUGCCGCGUGCAGGAUGACGGCCCUAUGGGUUGUAAACUGCUUUUAUUAAGGAAUAAACCCCCGGUCGUGUAUCGGGGCUGAACGUACUUAAAGAAUAAGCAUCGGCUAACUCCGUGCCAGCAGCCGCGGUAAUACGGAGGAUGCAAGCGUUAUCCGGAUUCAUGGGUUUAAAGGGUUCGCAGGCGGCGCAUUAAGUCAGUGGUGAAAUCCCUCGGCUCAACCGAGGAACUGCCAUUGAUACUGGUGUGCUAGAGUAUAGUUGGCGUAGGCGGAAUGUAUCAUGUAGCGGUGAAAUGCUUAGAUAUGAUACAGAACACCGAUCGCGAAGGCAGCUUACGAAACUAUAACUGACGCUCAGGAACGAAAGCGUGGGGAGCGAACAGGAUUAGAUACCCUGGUAGUCCACGCUGUA
rnacentral:rRNA from 1 species